rnacentral:rRNA from 1 species
GAUGAACGCUGGCGGCGUGCUUAACACAUGCAAGUCGAACGGAAAGGCCACAGCUUGCUGUGGUACUCGAGUGGCGAACGGGUGAGUAACACGUGGGUGAUCUGCCCUGUACUUCGGGAUAAGCUUGGGAAACUGGGUCUAAUACCGGAUAGGAAUCACAUGUGGGUGUGUGGUUGGAAAGCUUUUGCGGUAUGGGAUGAGCUCGCGGCCUAUCAGCUUGUUGGUGGGGUAAUGGCCUACCAAGGCGUCGACGGGUAGCCGGCCUGAGAGGGUGUACGGCCACAUUGGGACUGAGAUACGGUCCAGACUCCUACGGGAGGCAGCAGUGGGGAAUAUUGCACAAUGGGCGCAAGCCUGAUGCAGCGACGCCGCGUGGGGGAUGACGGCCUUCGGGUUGUAAACUCCUUUCGUCAGGGACGAAGCGAAAGUGACGGUACCUGGAUAAGAAGCACCGGCUAACUACGUG